AAUGAUCGAAUUACGUGCGAAUUGGAAAUGAGGAUUGAUCAACCGAUUUUGUUCAGUGAUGAUUGCAUUAAUAAAACCUUCAUUUUUUUUUUAUUCCUUUCGAAACGUUAUGUAAAUAUUUUGAAUUUGAAUGGCGAGUUAGUUUGGUGUUGGUGUAAAUAUUUUUAAAGUAAUAGCGAAAUUCGUUUACACAAUGUAAACUGCAUCAUUGCGUAGUUUUUCUUUUCCCGAAUAAAUCUAGCAAGAAAAUGUAAUCUAUAGAGAUUUUCCGCGUGUGUUAGUUUUGUUUUGUGUUUCAUAAAGGAUCAUUGCCUGUUCUUCCUACGUUUCAAAACUGAAUGAUAAAUGUUCAAAUGAACUAAAAUUUGGAUUUUGAAUUUGAAAUUGAACGUUGAAAGUCGCUUUACAAAACAAUCUGACCAGUCCAAAAAUAAAAUGUCAUCCGCCAGAAUCGCAUUGCUAAUACUUUGCCACUGUCUUAUCGGCGUCUUCAGCGACGAAGUAGUCCUCACCGGCGACUUGAACAAUGAAAACAUACUCGUAGACCAAGAAACUGAGUCGUCGAAGGCUGCAGAUGCUGAUGCUUCGACGGAAUUCGAAUCUCGUCUGAAUGACGUGCCAGUCGACGAAAUCGACAGCUCUCUCAACCAUGGUGAACUAAUAGAAAAACUUGAGCAAGAAUUGCAGUUGUUAGAUGAAGGUAAUUCGGAUGACGAAAAUUCAUCGGUAGGGGCAGAAUCUCCUGUUGCGAAUAACACAAAUUCGGAUCAAGUUCCGGUAGUGCAGACAAUCGUAGUGUUUGAUAAGCAGGAUCAAAAUAACGGGUCUUGGAUCCCGAUCGAAGUUAUGUUCGUUGUUGUCGUAGUUGGUAUUUUAUUGGUUUUAUUGUUCAUGCGUCGUAACGACUAGUAAGGAGUAGGGUGAGGCUGUUGCUUUUUUUUAAAUUAAGAACUUGAGAAGAUGAUUUUUUUCAUUAUGAUUAAUACAUGCUUUAUUGUAUGGUGA